AUUGAACGCUGGCGGCAUGCUUUACACAUGCAAGUCGAGCGGCAGCGCGGGGGCAACCCUGGCGGCGAGCGGCGAACGGGUGAGUAAUGCAUCGGAACGUAUCCUCUAGUGGGGGAUAACCCAGCGAAAGUUGGGCUAAUACCGCAUGAGCUCUGAGGAGGAAAGCGGGGGACCUGCGAGGGCCUCGCGCUGGAGGAGCGGCCGAUGUCCGAUUAGCUAGUUGGUGGGGUAAAGGCUUACCAAGGCGACGAUCGGUAGCUGGUCUGAGAGGAUGAUCAGCCACACUGGGACUGAGACACGGCCCAGACUCCUACGGGAGGCAGCAGUGGGGAAUGUUGGACAAUGGGGGCAACCCUGAUCCAGCCAUGCCGCGUGAGUGAAGAAGGCCUUCGGGUUGUAAAGCUCUUUCGGACGGAACGAAAUGGGCGGGACUAAUACUCCUGUCUGAUGACGGUACCGGAAGAAGAAGCACCGGCUAACUACGUG
rnacentral:rRNA from 1 species